rnacentral:tRNA from 1 species
GGGGGCGUACCCCAAACGCAGAGGCAUACAAACGGUAGAGCCCUAUCUCCAUGAGGUAGAGGUCCUUGGUUCGACUCCAAGCGCCCGCUCCA